UAGAGUAUAAAUUUUGGAAAAUUCACUUGGAUUUUAAAGUGGGCAGCCAUCUUUUACUUUUGCAUUACAGCUUGUUUCAUUUGGAUUUAAAAUACUGUUCCCACUUGCUUCAGGAAUGACUAGAAAAUAGAUGGCAAUUUGGAGCAAUGUUAGAACCAAUUGGUGGAGAAAUUAACUUAAAACAUGGGUAUGAUGUGUGUUCUAAAUGUAAUGAUAACAAAUGUAAAGAAACACGUACAAAGUCAGUGUAGUACGUAAGUCCUAGGAGAACAACCAGAAGACAAGAAACUGUCUUUACUGGGGGAUUCAGCUUACAGUAAUUUUAAAUCUACUGACUGCAAUUUUUUUUUGCCACCAUUAGUAGGUAAGUCUAAUUACUAUUGUUUUUUGGUCUCUGAACAAUUACAUGGAGCAGAUUUUCUGCUUUUUGUGUCUUUUAGGAAUUUAGAUAUACAAAUGAAGGUCAUUAGUUUUUAACUUGCUGAAGGUUUCUGCCGUAGCAGAAUAGAUAUUUAUUUCUUAAUAGUUAGUUUUAAUUUCAGUGUAUUUCAUUGCAACUGAUAAUAGCUAUGCUAUCAUAGGAGGCAGUAAGACCUUUCUGACAUUGAUUUUGCUUGCAACUUCAUCCUUAUACUUGAUGGGAUGUAUAAAAGUAAUUCAGUCUCCAGGCUUGCUCAGUCCUGAUCUACUAUCAAUUCAAUUGAAAUAUGUCUACAUAGAGUGUAUUAUCUUUUUUUUUGGAAGGAUAACUAAGUGAAUUAAGCACAUGCAAUACUUAUCUUAUCACUGUCCAGGCAAACUUAUACUUUAUUGAUUUAUAGUGCCCUUCAUAAGCGUAAAGGUGUUCUACACUAUUUUAUGCACAUGGACUGCUUCAAGUACCUCUAAAAUGCAGCCACUUCAGUCAUUAAUUUGCUUUCAUACUUGAUUGUGCCCAUAGUCAACUGCUAGCUCAAAGCAGAUUCUUUAAAAACCUUUUUCAAGAUUCCUUACUACACUCUGUGCUAUUCAUAAGAGAUCAAAUCCUGGAGUUCUCACUAAUGUACUGCUUGACUUUGGAAGCACUGCAAACCUAUGCAUAAACAUGCUGGGUGUUGGUAUUCCUGUGCUUCACUGCUUGUAGCCCUGCUCUGUGCCUCCUUCCUUGGUAGCAUAGAAUCACAUAAUCACCAAGAUUGGAAAAGACCUCCAAGAUCAUUCAGUUCAAAUGUAACAUGUUGGCUUUUUCCUUGCUUGGUAAUGUUGGACCGCAAUGAGGGCAGUGGAGGGAAGGAGAUGUGUAUGAGAGCUGUCAGGUGAGCUGUACCCAGCAGGAUCUCCAAGGGUGCAGUAUGGGAUAGGGGUUCCUGCAUGUUCUUCCCGAUUUCUUCCUGUAAGUGUAAGGGACAAAUCUGGUUCUUGGGACAUAUUUAGUCUUCAUCCCAGGAAAUCUGUCACUGAAGACACUGGAGGUUUUGCCUGAGUAAGUAUUGAGUAAAGACUGAAGGCUUUGGCCUAACAUUUAUAUCAAAUAUAGCCUUCCCAAAUUCAUUAAUUCCUGUUUUAAAAUUAUAUUAUCCAUAUCUCUUUUUACUGUCCCUGACCCCUUUUGCAUACUCUCACUAUUAGCACUCCCAGUCACAGAUAUCUGGAAAUGCAUUCUAUCAUCGAUAAUACAUUCCACCUGGCUCAUAUUCAUAACCCGCUCCAAGGUACCGGGAUGGCGAGCAUGGCCAUGGGUUACUAAACACUGGAUUUAUAAAAUGUGAAGAAAGAAAUAUGCUGCACUUAAAAGUAUCAGAGCACAUUUUGCAGUGCGCUUGAUCUCUUGCACGUCGUCUUCUGCCACAGUCUGCAUUAAAAGCAAUUAAUAAUAUCUACUCCUGUGUGAGGAGCACUGGUGGAUUUUACCUAUUCUAUAUAUUUUACUUCUCAUGUGAUGAUGAAUAAAUUAAUCCUAUUAAUAUUUAAUUAACUUUAAGUUGAAAGGUGACAUCUAACUUAACCAAUUUACUGUUCUGUAGCUGGCUUAACUUUGGAUCAUGUGAUUUUAAUUCUUUCCGUAUGACCAGGUGACUUAAAAAGAAAAAAAAGGAAAUGCACAGAUUAAUUUCAUUCUUUAACCUUCCUAAUGCAUCUGCUUGCUUGCAUCGAGUCGCAGACAGCAGAUCAUCACAUGAUUUAUAGUAGUGACCGCUGCCUGCAUCUCUCAGGCUAAUGACACAUACACUAAAGUCAUUGAUUUGUAUGAAUAGCCUCCGCUCUUCAUUUAUCACAAUUUAAUGUAAGAGUUUGCAAUGCAGAAAAAAAUUUCACAUGGGAAGCAUGGCCCCACAGGCCUGACCGCUAAGCAGUUAUGAAUCAUUUGCUGCCUUUUAAUAUAUAGACUUUUCUAUUCCUGAAAAUGCCCUGUAAGGUCGUAUUUCUUUACAGAACAUCACUACAAUUAAACCCCAAAAGCAGGUGUUUUAACACAAAGUACAUAUGAAGCAUGACCAACUUAAACCUUUGUUAGCAUUUUCUCUUUCUCAUUUUUAAUACACCAUAAAAACCAAAGUUUAUCAUUGAUGUAAGCAGGGACAAUUCAUUUAACUUCAGCAGAACUGUAUCUGUUUUUGUUACUCCAAAUUUGACCCAUAAAGUUUAUUGAUUUGCCUUGGUAAUGUGCAGAACUCAAGCAAGAAUAGUGACCUAAGGUCAGAGAAGUGCUGUGAUGAAGUAGGAUUUGGCAAAUUGUUUUUUCCUCAAAUACAUAUAUUUUUAAAUCUCAAAUGUAACUUAUAAGAGAAUGAAUACUUUCUGAAAUGGAUUGCUUAGUACAAUUUACGUGACCUGUAUUUUCUUUUUAAAUAAAAAUUCAUACAUUGCUUUCAAUAGGAAAUGAAUAUUCCCAUGUAUGUUUCAUAUAGUAAUUUUAAAGAGAUGUGGCAGAUCAAAUAUGGAUUUAAAAAAAAACAUUCCUAUCUAAUACUUCAAGGAAUGCAAUUCAUAAUGUUAAUAUAAAUAUUCUUGAGCCCUUUUGUUCUAAAUGAUAAGUAAGAAUAAAGAAAUAGUUAUUCCUUAUUAGUGAGUAAAAAAAACAGGGAGGGCAAAGCAUUGAUUUCUGAUGUAUUUAUCAUGGAAUGAUAUAUAACCAAAAUACUACAAGUCUGUUUUCGGAGUCUUAGGUAGGAGAAAUGAUACUAGUAAUAAUCAAGUAUACUAUGUGAAACUUAGAAAAUAAAAUAUGCUUUCUUAAUAUCUUAUGCUAGCCUUUCAAUACUGUAUAAUCAGUGUUAGAUGAAAAAGAUGUUAGAAUGUUAUGUCUUUCUGAGAACAACUAUCUGUACAGAAACUGCACGUCUAACUGUGGGUUGUCAGGGUGUUGCAUUUUUGUGUCUGUGUAAUUUUUGUUUGUUUCCUUUUAAAUAUGAGAUAAAAAUCACAUGUCAGUAUUUGGAAGUUCUUCUCUAUGCACUAUUGCUGCUCACGUAUCACUGCUUUAGUUAGUGAAGUAGUGUUUGUUGUUGCAGAAAUGGGUACUGAAAAAGAAAACGAUACCUAUUCUGGAAAACACAAAUGUUAUUUUCCAUUGUUUGUAGCAUGGGGCACAGGACCAUUAUAUUUCAGAAAUAAGACAGAGUUCAGAUGACAUAUAUUCUUUUUUCUCAGGUGAGAAAUCAUUAAAUGAAGGGAAAAUGUGCUACAUGGCCACACAAGGGAGCCAGGUAUCCCAGUCAUUUUAAACUUUAGCCUUUGUUUCAUCAACAUCAAAUAUUAUUAAAUACAAAAGUGGCAAUAUUUUUAGAUGUGAAGAAAAAGUGUGACAAAGUUUCUACUGUAUGAGCCACUGACAUUGUCAAAUUAUUUACCCUUAAAAAUGCUUUUUGUAGGCAAAUGCAUUACAGAGACUGAAAGUUAUGCAAUUUCUGAACUUUUCUUGCAUCGCUUGGCUGGGACCAUGUGUUAGAAUAGCAGCACUUAAAAUGAAAAAGAGGAUUUGUAAUGAUCGCUCUGAAGUUUUACAUUUUAUCUGUAGAUCUUUUUGUAUGUUUAAUCGCUUCUUUUUUGGCUUAUUGGUAGCAUAGCAUGCGGUGAAAUGCAGGAAGAAACCAAGUAAAAAUGGAUAUAAAAGAACUUGGGCUACUAAUAAAGCAGCUUCAGAGAGAGGAACUGCAAAAGCAGCUGUGGGUUCAGGCUAAAUGUGAAGGACCGAGUAAAGCACUUGGCAGCUGCCCAGGUAAGGCUCCUUUCAGCCAUCAUGUGUCCUGGAGAUUGAGAACGGAAGUAAUGGAAGCCUUUUCAGAAGGAAAAUCUACCCCAAUUGGAUCCAAGCUAUGCCUGCCUUUCAUCUAUAGUUUGGUUUAACACAGCUGCUGCACAAGUAAGAAUGCAGGUUUCAGUAUGUUUAUUGUAUGUGUAGUGCAGCAAGUACAUAAGAGAAGUCUGCAGAAGAAGGUUAAUUGUAGUUAAUGCAAAGACUUCAAGCAGCUGGAUAAAAAGAUGAUAAUAUUUUAGCAUUUCCCUGUACUUUCCAUAAAAUAAAACUUUAAUUUUUAGCCCAGCUUUGGUACCCUUCACUUUGGAGGUGUUUCGAGUUCAUAGGAGCUCUGUGACCCAAGAACUUGCAUGCUGUAAUGCUGCAAAAGGCAAGUUCAAUUCUUCUUAGCAAACUAAAACAAGGAGGAAAAUGUUAAGAGGUUAAAAAAAUCAGAAAGUCUUCUUAGAUUUAAUUUCUUUGAUAUCUUUAGGAAAAAAAGCACAGCAGUGUAUAAUCCUUCAUCUUCAUGAUGUAGCCCAUGUGAACAUUCCCUUUCAGUUCACGUUCAUCGUGUUACUUCUGAAAAUAUUUCCAGUGCUGCAGUGUAGGUAAAUAUUGCUAUUAACAGUAAAGAGGAUAAUAGAUAUGCUAAGCAUAGACCAUCUACCUUAACUUUGAAUUUUGUAGCUUUUGAUAUGAUGUUUAUAACGUUCUUAUCAUGUUGCUGUGUGAGCAUCCUGCAACAACUAUAAGUUCAUGUUCAUUUCUUGUUGAAAAUAUUUAAUGAAAAUCUACACAAAGCACAUUGUUUAGCCAGGAGAUCAGAAUAUUUUCCUUUUCAUCAGUUGUAUUCUCUUGGGUCCCUCAGUCUCAAAUCCCUCUCGAGAGAAGGAACACCAGAGGGUUUCGAUUUGUGUUAAUUAUUUGAGACUUUCAAAAACCUCUCUUAUUUACUUGGUAAAUGCAUGUUUUCCUAAGUGUUUUUAAAUUAUUAUUUUUAUUAUCAUUGUUUUAAUAUUUUAAUUAUUCCUACAAUUAUUCCCACCAUAGGUUCUCUCAUUACUAUGUGUCUGGGUGCUAUUGGUUUCCUAAAGCAAAUGUUUGUUCUUUUUUUAAUUUCUCUUUUAAAUGAAAGAGCGCACGUUUUAGUCCUAAUUCAGGCAUUUGGCUCUUUUGAAGCACAGGAGAGUAGUCAGCCAGUUGGAUUACUCACAUGGCCACAGGCAGGUCUGCCAUGCUCUUGCCAUCUCUGCUUCAGUCUUGUUCUAGUGUGGUUAUGCCGGUUCCAAAUCGCUGUUGGCCUGUGUCCAGUUGUGUGGCUCCACAGACAGGCACAGCUGGGCUGCAGCUGUCCACACAACUACUUACACUUGUCCUAAGUCACAUCUUAGCUAUACAGCAUCCACUGCUGCCUGAACUGCUAAGAUUCGAUAUUGGCCCAUCUGCAAUAUUUGACAUAAUGUCAAAAAUAGAUCUUGUCAUGCCUUGACUGCCUUUUAGGCUUGCCUGAGUGACAGUUAUGGCAGUACAUUGGCAAUACAUUUGACAGAAAGAGGGAAGACUUCUAAGGAAAACAUGAUUUCAAACUGAGCACUUUGUGGCCAUAUGCAACACAAGCCAGGUAGUAAAAAUAAGCGCUCCUUUCUUGAGUCUAGAGCUAAUGUUUAGAUGUGACUAUAACAGAAACUCUUGUUCACUCUAUUUCUUUUCUAAUCUUGCUCCUAGAGGUCACAGGAUUCCCUCUUGCCAUAUGACUAGGGAUAUACUGACACAAUUUGUGUGUGUGUUUCAGUAUGCACAGGUACCUUCCGCAGAUUCCCUCUUUAUUUUGAUUUUUGAGUUUGGUUGCAGUCUCUUCUGGCACUAUGCAAGAAAAAGGUUCUGUUGAUUGUACAAAUCUUGCUGCAUGUUCUUGAGCAUCAUUUUUUGGUUUCUAAUCUAAGAACUUACAUUUGUUCAGUUCUUUUAUUGAAUUUGUCUAACAAAUGUUUCAAGCAUUUUUCAUCUUGCUAGCAAAAAGGUGUUUGUGAAUUGUAGAAAUAAAUGUAUUUUAAGAACUUCUAAACAAAAAUACCAUUAAACAGAAACUGAUUCUGUAAGCAGAUCUACCACAAAGUAUCUGAAAACUAGCAGUAGCUGUGCAACAGGCCCCUAAUAAGGACCUCCGAGAUGGCAUAAGCAUGCCUCUUCUAGACAUUCACUUGCACUUUUGUAAGCCCCAGGUCAUUUUUUCGCUGCAUUACAGAAAUAUUCUGCUGCCUCUCUAAACAAGCUGGUCGUCUUCUAAAAACAUAUUGGCCUUUUAGGCUCCUGGACAGUUAGCACUGUACUAACUAGUUUACCCUAAUAUAGCCAAUAUCUCCAUGCUGGUAUGGCAGUGUGGACUUAUGCCUUAUAUAUCAGUAGAAAAACUUUGUUCUGUUCAUCAUCUUUGUUCUGUUAUGUUAAUGUAGAAUCCUGCAGCUGGGGAAUGUUUGAAAGUUUCUGAAUUUACUAAGACAUCUAUUUCCUAUGGUUUCUAUUGACUUAAUUAAUUUAGUGACUAAUUCCCUCUACUCUAACCCACAGCAACACAAAGAAACAUGUUUCUAAGAAUACCUGGGAGAGUCCCAAGCUAGUCAAAGGACUAGCUUUUUCAUAUUCUGUCUCUAAAACAAUUUAGAAUGUUUUCAUAGCAAUAGUAUCAAACCUUCCUUCAGCUUAUUUGUGCUGUAGUAAAUAUUAUAGUCUACUCUUGAAGUUAACUGAAAUUGUUAAUUUUACCCUCUUUGGUCUUUCGUAUAUAACCACAAAAGUGAUAGCCGCAGCAGAACUUUCUCCCUAAUACUUAGCUGUCUCAGAAACCAAUUUCUAUAAAAAAUGGUGUCUGUACAUUAAUGCUAUUAUUAAUUUACAAAUUAUAGAGAACGGCAAGACUAUAAAAAUAUGUAUAUUUUCAGCUACUUUUAUAAACAGUAUCCAAGUUCAAUUCAUAAUUAUGAUUGUUAUCAUGAGGUUUAUUAAUCCUUGUCUGUUUAAAAACACUUGCAAAUAUCUGUAGUUUUUCAAAUUUUGGUGUGGAGUAGUUUGUCCAAAAACAGCAUAUGAGUGUGAAUUUCUGUUAGCUAGCUGCCACUGUGAAAUGUUAAAAACUAAAGUGCGACCAAUUAGAAAGAAAGAAAAGAAAAAAAAAAUUCAAACUCUAGGGACAUUUCUUGAUAGCAAAAUCCAGACAAACUCAUCUUGUUUAGUUGUGCUUGUGACCCUUUGCUUCUUGGUAUUUGCCAACAUUGGUUCUUGGGGAGUUGUAUGGUAGGCUACAUCAGAAAAUCUACCCAGCUGAAAUGCCCUCUUUUUCCUUCCCCCAGCUUGUCUUUAUUAAUAAGCCCUUCACUUUUUCCUUCCUGUUGCAGUUCUUGCCUUUGUUACCCAUAAAUUCCAUAAUCCCCACUCUCCUCUUUUAUACUUCCCUGUCUCUUCAGACAGAUCAGCUCCCUGAUCUUGUUUGCUGCAUAGCUCUGCCAGCAUAACAUUGGCUUGGAGGGAGAAUGAGCAGCUGGAAUGGGAAACAUCAAGCCAUUGAGGCAUGCUGCUGCCUAGUAUGAAACCACAGCCAUAGGUGACUCUACGUAAAUAGAAAAUUCCCCCUAAUUAGCUAUUUUGAACCAACAAUAUGCCAAGAAUUUCCCAAACAAAAUCAUAAGUGCUAAUAAACUGUGAAUAUGUGACAGACUUCAGGAUCUUUUUGAAAGUUACCUGUGAAGGGGAAAAAAUGAGAGAAAUUAACAAGAGUUAUUCACAAUGAAUUAUUUGAUCCUCUGUGGUCAUGGCUAUUUAUACACUGCAAUCACUAAAGGAAAUGAAAAACAUUUUGUGUUCCUUUUCCAAGUGCAUGGACUGUGUAUCCUGCUUGCUAAAAUGUAAAACUAAAAAUCCCAAACUGUUGCAGAUUAAAAGGAUUUGCUGGUUUAGUAGUUGAGCAAGUGCUACAGGAAUGACGAACAUUGUGAAAUACCAUCGCUUGUUUUUGUAACAGCUGCUCAAGAUAUUGCCUAAAGGUUUGGAGUUCUAGUGAGCCUGGAAGUACUUAAUGGAGAGUAAGAGGAGAAAGAAAAACAAAAAGGAAAAAAGGAAAAAGGUGUUUGGAAAUUUAUUGGGUAUUGACACCUGGUCUAUUGAUCUCUUAGAAAGGGUGGAGAAGAUGGAUAUAGCAAAGUCGUUUAUAAAAAGAAGGGUAAUGUUUUUCUUUCACAGCAUAUGAAUGCUGCCAAAAAAUGAAAAUCUGUCAAACACAGCUGGUCUCCCUAGACAGUUUGGGAGUGCCACCAGAGGUACAGCUUGUUUUGCUUUAGAAGAUUGUAUAACUCAGGAAAACAUGGAUUUGUAAAUAUGUCUUUUUCUUAUGAUUUUGUGAUUUUAGAAUUUUCGUAGUUUCUUUUCUGUAGUCUGAUAUCUGACUAUACCUGUCUCCCUAGUUUCUUCCAAUAGUCUCUUCCAGUAAUCUCUGCCAACUAAAAUUUUUCUCUCCAUAUUCAUAAAUUUCUUUAAUCUCUUCUAUACUUCGCUGUCUCUUCAGCUGUCCUUAAACAGGGAAACCAUGUUCAUGGAGACUGGCAUAAUUUCCUCCAAGAGCAAUAAUGGAGCAGAGAAGAUAGGUUUCCAUUGUUCAGAAACAUUAGGAAGUGGUGGGCAUCCUGGAUGAGGUUACUAUGUAAUGAGCUUUUGAAUAUAUUGGAACACUAUAGUCACACUCUCUGAGAGAGAAGAAAUCUCAUCUUUCUGAUCUUUCCCUUGUUAUUACCAACAGCAUGAGGAAAAAGUGCCCUAACCCCCCAAAUACUUUUGCUUUGAAGAGGCUACAUAUGACACCAUCAUUAUUUGCUUUGCUUGUGCCUGAACCUUCUCUAAGGACUACACAGAUAGACUUAUGUAGCAAAAUUAAACAAUUUGAAGACUUUUUCUAUACUCACUUGUUUUUCCCCCAAAGAGGAACUUCCUCAGACUCAACUAAUAGAACCAAAAAAAAAAAAAAAAAGCCAACAACAACAAAAAAAUGUAUUUUAUUUUCUGUCCCUUAAUUCUCUGUCUGAUUAAUCUGGAAAUGGGAAGCUCAUUGCCACUUUGCUGUCCAGUAUUAACUAGCAUGAAGAUGGUAAGAAAGUGAGUUGAGUGAGGGCUGCAGCUGAGCUGAAUAACAUAACGCAACUACUUGUACUGUUCAUUAGCCUUCUUGGUGCAAAGGUGGUUUUUGCCAAAAUGGUAUGUAUCUUUUAAUCUUAUUUCACAGAAAUAUGGGAAGAAAGAUAAAAGACUUCUGUGUAACUGAACUGCUUCAUAGAUGGAAGAGUCCUGAAGAAUUGUCCUAAAACUAUGUUCACUGGCUCUAUCACAUCUUAAAUUGUAUUACAGGAAAUUCAUCUUGGUCAAGUUGGUAUACGUCUGUUACAUAGUUUCCACUGAGCUGAAUGCCAAAGUCACAACAGAUGUUGUCUGAAGGAAAGCAAUGCCAUUUAUUAUCACACUGGAUGUUAAAGAUAGAACCAUAUUCAUUGUAAGAAUCUGAUGAAGAAGCUCUUGAAUGCAAAUGCUGUCCUGUAAAAAAACUGUGCUAGAAGCCGUUGACAAUGGUAAGUAAUUACUGAUUAGACUGUGUAGUAACUUACCUUUGAAGUGAAAGGUAAACCAAAAAUAAUGUUGAUUUUGCAUUCUUCUGGCACUCUGUACACUGUUCUUUAUAGGCAUAUUACAAAAAUCUGUGCUGUUAUUUUACUCGUACUUCUGAGUAUUUGUAGUUUACUGACUUUCACCAUUUCUUACUAUGGUGAAAAGAAAUUGAUAGCUCAUGAACAACCAAAGGAAGUGAGUUCCUGUUUGGCUGAGGAAGCAAGAUUCUGUCAUUCACUGUCUCACAGGGUGGGUUUUUCAAACUAGGCCCAGUGAUCUAUCACAGUAGGUUAGUAAAUACAAAUACUUACAUAUUAGAACUUAAUAAACAGGAAUAAUGUCUAAUCACGACAAAGCUGCAUUUUUUGAGUUUCCAGAGUUCUGUGUAACUUGUUUCUGAUAUUGCUGAGCUCUUGUUCCCUGUAGCUGGAUGUAUUCAGUGUGAACAUGCUAAUGAUCAGAUUUAGUUCACCCAGUUUUUGGAAAGAGGGCAAAAUUAAUUUAACUUUGAAUUUUCAGAGCACAUUGCUUCAGGUACUGGGAUAAUUUUGCUCUGUAGGCAGUAUACUCCUAGGACAAUUUUGUUGAAAGGAGCUGAAAUUUGCCUGGAAGUUUAAAGGAUCUUUUACACUACUGUCCAUUCCAUUCUGAAGCUUUAAAGCAUUUUCAUUGUGGCUGUCUGUCAAGGCACCAAGUUUGAAAUUCAUCCUGGCCACAGCAAGAAGCAAGCUAAUGUCUAUAUUAAAUUAUUUAACAUCGUGGAUUUAUUGGUAAUAGCACUGCCAUUGUUACUAAAAUGUUACUGUUGAAUCCAAGUAUCUAUUGCAUUACAGGUUCUGCAUAGAGAAUAUUUCUCUCUUCAUGUAUAAUGCUGACUUUUCACAAACAGGAUUGAAGGAAGUAUAGUGGCAUUUCUUUGCCAUUUUCUCUAAAUUGCCUUAAAAUUUAAAUUAGAUUGAAUGUAAGCAUGAAAAGAGUAUCAAUAGCAUGUAAGCUUCUGGUGGGUAAGCAAAUCUGGAUAUUCGGUUAUGUUCAGGUGCUUACCUCUUACAAGAUGAUGGCAUAAGUCAAUUUUCAGUUCCUUUGAUAGAGUAAUGUUUCCCUAAUGGAACUAUGGAACAACAUUAGACAGAUUUCUCAACACCUCCCAGAAGGCUGUAUAAAACAUAGUUUCCAGCGAUAGUCUCCUCCAGUUUUUAAUACUAUCUCUUUUUCUGUAGUAAUCAUAAUCCAUGUACAGUGUUUUCUCCUCUUUACAGACUGAUAAUGAGUGAAUGUUCAUGUGGUCUGUUACACAACACUAAGCUCUUAUUUCACUGUCUGCAGUUAUGUUCAUUUUGCUCUUAUCUUUAGCAAGGGCAUGCUAGCAACUGCUUCUUCAAGGUUACAGUGAGAUUCCUGGUGG